AUGCAGGUCCCUAUGAGCUCCUGGCACGUUUUCAAGUCCAAGCUGAGCAAAUGCAAGAUGACAAGAAGAAUAAGAGCUUGCUUAGCAGGGAGAGGAGCAGUGAGCCUGAUCUGGGGGUGGCUGCCCCUGCAGUGCAGUGAUGUAUCACAAAAUGACGUUCCUCUUUUGGAUGGGCUUCAAGUUGUCUCAGCGCAGCUGCACCUCUCCUUCAAACCCACUGUGAUGCACAGCAGGCACCACGGGUGGGACAUCGAACCCCACCAAGGCCUACUGGGAGCUGCAGGUGUGAGAAAAGGGGAGCUGCGUGGGAGCUGCUGCUUCUGCUGGUUUGGCUCAGCUGUCUUGAAUGGUGCACGGAUUUCCAAGAAGAACACGGCCAACUGCAGAGCCUGGAGCUGGCUGGUGGUGGAAGCAGCAGAUCUCAUACACGUGGGCUGCCGGAUGGUAUAGCCAAAACAAGGAGAAAACCCCUCAGGGCUGCGAAACCUAAGGACAAAUGCUGAUGGGGAGGCUUCUGCUGACCUCGCUGGGAGCUGGACCGAUGCCUGGUGGCAGACAAAGGCUGUGUGAGUGGGGUGUGCUCACCCCAGCCCUGUUCUUCCUAUGGUGUUGGGGCCCAGGGUAUGUAUUUCCCCCCCUGGCAAUGGGCAGACUUGGAUGGGUUGGACGUUGCGCAGCUCUCUCCCUUCUCUGGUUUCAGCUCGGUUGUUAAACCCAGUAAUAUGCGCAAUAAUCUGCCUGUCUGGGAUUAAUAUAAC
rnacentral:lncRNA from 1 species